GAUUUAAGGCGAUCGCCGCCGCCUCCGUUUGCGCCUUCCAGGGCCCAAGAGUUCCCCACUUUGCCCCCAAAGCCUCUCAAAGUGUUGCCUAAGCCUGAGGAAGAUAAAAAGUUUUUUGAACAGUGGAGAUUUUAAAACAGACUGCGUGCACAAUAUGCAGAGCACGCUCUUUGGAGAAAACCCCCUCAGGGGGGUCUCACCCAGGCUAAGAAAAAAGCGGACCGGACGCAGAUUCUCCAAUUUAGAUCCAAGACAGGUUGAUUCGCCAUGUUGCAGACCCCCAGACAUCCAGUUCCCCCAUUGCUUCGAUCACAAAAGAGGAGCCCGCCGGAAGGGGAGGCAAGAUAAACAUCGAGAUCCCGGCAAGACUGACGGGGCUGCUGCAGUGCGAACUCCAACCAGAAAAUAAUUCUACUUAUUCUGCUUUGGCUUGUCUACCCUCUCCUUAUGUUUUUCUCUUUACCAAUGAUUCUGGAAAACUUAAUGUACAUGUGACUUUCACUGGUGGACCCAAUGUAGUGACUUGUGAACAAUGCAUGCUCUCAUCUUGUUUAAACCCUCAAUAUAAUGUUUGCCCCUUUGUAGUGUUACAACGUCCACCUUAUCUUAUGAUGUAACCACUUAUUGAUAUGUUAACUAUAGUCUUGCUGGGUUACAACAACUACAAGAUUUAAUGUGAUCACGACGAUCUGUGGGCUUACUUAUUUUAGGAAUAUCAGCUUUAAUAGCAGCAAUUGCUUCUGUUACUGUGGCAGCAAUAUCAUUGACUCAACAAGUGCAUACUGCCCAAUAUGUUGAUACCAUGUCUAAAAAUGUUUCUUUAACUCUAGCAACACAGAAAGUUAUAGAUAAGAAAUUAGAGAUGAGAGUAGACACCUUAAAAGAGGCAAUAAUGCAUAUUGGGACUGAGUUACAGGCUUUAAAAGUGAAAAUGGCUCUGGCUUGCCACGCUGAUUACCGGUGGAUAUGCGUGACA
ensembl:lncRNA